rnacentral:rRNA from 1 species
GACGAACGCUGGCGGCGUGCUUAACACAUGCAAGUCGAACGGUGAAGCGCCUUCCUUUUUGGUGGGUGUGGAUGAGUGGCGAACGGGUGAGUAACACGUGAGUAACCUGCCCCCUUCUUCUGGAUAACCGCAUGAAAGUGUGGCUAAUACGGGAUAUUCUGGGUCUGUCGCAUGAUGGGUCUGGGAAAGAUAUUGUUUCGGUGGGGGAUGGGCUCGCGGCCUAUCAGCUUGUUGGUGGGGUGAUGGCCUACCAAGGCGGUGACGGGUAGCCGGCCUGAGAGGGUGGACGGUCACGCUGGGACUGAGACACGGCCCUGACUCCUGCGGGAGGCAGCGGUGGGGAAUAUUGCACAAUGGGCGCAAGCCUGAUGCAGCGACGCCGCGUGCGGGAUGGAGGCCUUCGGGUUGUGAACCUCUUUCGCCAGUGAAGCAGGCCUGCCUCGUUUGUGGGUGGGUUGACGGUAGCUGGAGAAGAAGCGCCGGCUAACUACGUG